rnacentral:rRNA from 1 species
UACGGGGGGGGCAAGCGUUGUUCGGAAUUACUGGGCGUAAAGGGCUUGUAGGCGGCCAACUAAGUCCGACGUGAAAUCCCCAGGCUUAACCUGGGAAUUGCAUCCGAUACUGGAUGGCUUGAAUCCGGGGGAGGGAUGCGGAAUUCCAGGUGUAGCGGUGAAAUGCGUAGAUAUCUGGAGGAACACCGGUGGCGAAGGCGGCAUCCUGGACCGGCAUUGACGCUGAGGAGCGAAAGCCAGGGGAGCAAACGGG